rnacentral:rRNA from 1 species
GACAGAGGGUGCAAACGUUGUUCGGAAUUACUGGGCGUAAAGCGCGUGUAGGCGGCCCUGCAAGUCGGAUGUGAAAUCCCACGGCUCAACCGUGGAAGUGCAUUCGAAACUGCAGGGCUAGAGUCCUGGAGAGGAAGGUGGAAUGCUUGGUGUAGAGGUGAAAUUCGUAGAUAUCAAGCGGAACACCGGUGGCGAAGGCGGCCUUCUGGACAGUGACUGACGCUGAGACGCGAAAGCG